UGUUUGCAGUCUGUCUGAACUUUCUGCACUCUGAACACUUCUGUCAUCCAUAUUUAUGUGGCCGCAGAAGUGGACAGAACAGGUGUUUUCUCAAGGCUGAUGCCCACAGGAGUCACAAAUGUCAACUGUUGAAGAGCAAUGGAUUAUUUAAACAAGCCUAAACUUUAAUAUUUGAUGCAGAGCCCAGAGAUCUUAUGUGACUACAGAGAACUCAUACAAUAUGUUACAAGACCGCCAGAAAUAUAUUUACUAUACUGUGACAACACAGAUACUUUUUUUAGCUGAACACUAGAGGGAGGCAUUGCACAGCAUACUGAAACCUGCAUACUGAACUUAUUCUCUUCUGGAAACUUCCAUUGGUGUGGCUCAGAGCCUUCCUUUACCUUCUGUUCUUUUCCACUGUUGACGCGAACAUCAUAUGGUACACAGGUCACAUGCUGGUCACUGAGGUUCCUUCAAAGAAAUCACAUCCCAUUUAAAUCAGGGGGAAAUCUGAGCAGGUCUGACUGAAUUAUUUGUCUUAUCUUGAACACAUUUUUCUCUUACAGUAUUUUUGUAGAUUUUGCAAGA